rnacentral:tRNA from 1 species
GGUCGGUUGGCCGAGUGGUCAGGCACCGGUCUGCAAAACCGUACACGGCGGUUCGAAUCCGCCACCGACCUCCA